CAGCAGCCGCGGGAAAACGUAGGUGGCAAGCGUUGUCCGGAAUUAUUGGGCGUAAAGGGCUCGCAGGCGGUUUCUUAAGUCUGAUGUGAAAGCCCCCGGCUCAACCGGGGAGGGUCAUUGGAAACUGGGAAACUUGAGUGCAGAAGAGGAGAGUGGAAUUCCAUGUGUAGCGGUGAAAUGCGUAGAGAUGUGGAGGAACACCAGUGGCGAAGGCGACUCUCUGGUCUGUAACUGUCGCUGAGGAGCGAAAGCGUGGGGAGCGAACAGGAUUAGAUACCCCUGUAGUCCCUGUCUCUUAUAC
rnacentral:rRNA from 1 species